rnacentral:rRNA from 1 species
GGAGGGUGCGAGCGUUGUCCGGAAUCAUUGGGCAUAAAGGGCGCGUAGGUGGCGGGACAAGCGUGCGGUGAAAGCUCGGGGCUCAACCCCGAGUCGGCCGUGCGAACUGUUUUGCUUGAGCACUGUAGAGGCAGGCGGAAUUCCGGGUGUAGCGGUGGAAUGCGUAGAGAUCCGGAAGAACACCGGUGGCGAAGGCGGCCUGCUGGGCAGUAGCUGACACUGAGGCGCGACAGCGUGGGGAGCAAACAGGAUUAGAUACCCUGGUAGUCCACGCCGUAAACGAUGGGCACUAGGCGCUUGGGGGAGCGACCCCCCGAGGGCCGGCGCUAACGCAUUAAGUGCCCCGCCUGGGGAGUACGGCCGCAAGGCUG